GCCCCGGUAGCUCAGCUGGAUAGAGCAACGGACUUCUAAUCCGUAGGUCAGUAGUUCGAAUCUACUCCGGGGUA
rnacentral:tRNA from 3 species